ACGCACGCUGGCGGCGUGCUUCACACCUGCCAGUCGAACGGAAAGGCCCUGCUUUUGUGGGGUGCUCGAGUGGCGAACGGGUGAGUAACACGUGAGUAACCUGCCCUUGACUUUGGGAUAACUUCAGGAAACUGGGGCUAAUACCGGAUAGGAGCUCCUGCUGCAUGGUGGGGGUUGGAAAGUUUCGGCGGUUGGGGAUGGACUCGCGGCUUAUCAGCUUGUUGGUGGGGUAGUGGCUUACCAAGGCUUUGACGGGUAGCCGGCCUGAGAGGGUGACCGGCCACAUUGGGACUGAGAUACGGCCCAGACUCCUACGGGAGGCAGCAGUGGGGAAUAUUGCACAAUGGGCGGAAGCCUGAUGCAGCAACGCCGCGUGCGGGAUGACGGCCUUCGGGUUGUAAACCGCUUUCGCCUGUGGCGAAGCGUGAGUGACGGUAAUGGGUAAAGAAGCACCGGCUAACUACGUG
rnacentral:rRNA from 1 species